GAAUAAUGGUGCAAAUGGGGUUCCAAUAUUUGGGCACAAGAGGCAUGAGAAGUGGGUAUGAGAGGCUUGGAAAACAACGUUGUUGGGUGAAAUCUGUGAAUGGAAGAUUACGAGGUAUUAGGUUGUCACGGUUAAAGAGGCUUUCCCUGAAGGCUUUCACCAUCAGCAAGAUCAUGAGAAUGUACAAUGAUGUUGUCAACAGAAUGAACCUGCAGGAAGUGUUUGGUAAUGCUGCUGUUGUUAUUCCCACACAAUGGGGUCUUCCUGUAAUCUCUCAUCAUCAUCAUCAUCCAUCAGUUCUUUGAAAGAAAACUCAUUUGCUAUUAAUUACUAAUAUUGUUUGUAUUUUACAUUGUUUGGGACUCAUUCUUUUGUAUUGUAAUUCUUUUUGGCCCCAUAAUUUUUUUGGCCUAAUGUUAUGGUUGAC
rnacentral:lncRNA from 1 species